rnacentral:rRNA from 1 species
GUUGUUGCUGUCGUGUUGAGGACUCUGAUUGAGUUCUGUCGCAGUGGAAAGUGUGGUCUCUUUGGGCAAGGUGGAUUAAUUACGUUUGAUCUCAGUUCAACUGUUGCAACCUAUAGUAGUCCGGAUCUACUUGCAAUAAUUCUCCUUGGAAUAAUUGGUGGUAUAUUUGGAGGCCUCUUCAACUUUCUCUUGGAUAAAAUUCUUCGUAUUUACAGUAUUAUCAAUGAGAGAGGUGCUCCAUCCAAGAUCCUCCUCACUAUAAUAGUAUCAGUUAUCACAUCAAUGUGCUCCUAUGGCCUCCCUUGGCUUGCUUCAUGGACUCAAUGCCCUGAAGAUGCCGUGGAGCAAUGUCCUACCGUUGACCGCUCUGGCAAUUAUAAGAACUUCCAGUGCCCACCAGGGUAUUACAAUGGUAUGGCAUCACUUUUCUUCAAUACAAACGAUGAUGCCAUACCCAUACGCAAUCUUUUCAGCACUGGGACAGCGACUGAGUACCACAUGUCUAGUCUUUUCAUCUUCUUGUUCGCAAUCUAUUGCCUUGGACUUGUGACUUACGGAAUUGCGGUCCCAUCUGAUCUCUUCAUCCCUGUUAUCCUUGCUGGAGCCACAUACGGUCGAAUAAUGGGAGGCCUCUGCAUUCAACAUAUGAAAUAUGUCAGUAACAGUGAAGAAGAUUCUCAUCCACAUGGCUGA